GAUGAAGAACGCAGCGAAAUGCGAUAAGUAAUGUGAAUUGCAGAAUUCAGUGAAUCAUCGAAUCUUUGAACGCACAUUGCGCCCGCCAGUAUUCUGGCGGGCAUGCCUGUUCGAGCGUCAUUACAACCCUCAGGCCCCCGGGCCUGGCGUUGGGGAUCGGCGGAGCCCCCCGUGGGCACACGCCGUCCCCCAAAUGCAGUGGCGGUCCCGCCGCAGCUUCCAUCGCGUAGUAGCUAACACCUCGCGACUGGAGAGCGGCGCGACCACGCCGUAAAACACCCAACUCUUCUGAAGUUGACCUCGAAUCAGGUAGGAAUACCCGCUGAACUUAAGCAUAUCAAUAAGCGGAGGA
rnacentral:misc_RNA from 1 species